GUAAAGCUUGCUAGACUUUUUUGUACGACUUGCUCUCUUGAGUAAAUGUUCUCAUUUUACUCUCUCAGUAGCUUAACCAAUCAGAAGUCCCGUUCUACGCAAGUCGCACAUGAUCGUAUAAAAUUGCGUUCAUACAAAGACGAGGUUAACUUACAUGUUGGUCCAAAAAGGGAAGCUCUUUCUUUCUGGUGGAGUACUUUGACCUGUGAACAAGUCAUUUUUAUAAAGUGGAGUGCAAAUUAAAAAAAACGAGAACUUUGUUGAGAGUGCGCUCUUUCUCAACUUUUUUUGAAUUGAUUUUGUCAAAUGACAAGUGAAAUUUGCUGCUGGAAUUAAGAAUAUUUUGGAAACUUGGUAUCAGGUGCCCUAGUUAACGUGGGCAAGUUGUCUGGGCUGGAAGCCAUUGUGAAGCCCAUCGAAAUUAGAGGUUAGGCACACCGCGUGCUCGGUCAGUGACGAAACUCGUCCGGAAUCGUUCGGAAUCGUCGCUAGCGUCAGGAUUCGUUUGGGAUCAUCCUGUUUCGCUGAGGGUUAAAGCCAGCAGCAAGCCAGGGUUGUGCUAUUUACCGGUUGCGGACGCAGCCAUUGUGAUCUAGUACUUCGGUACGCUAGUGGCGCACACGUCACUUCCAGUGGGUUGUCAGCGGCACCGCUUUACGUCAACACAAAGCCGUACCGCACCGACGAAGUCGGGACGCAAACCUCGUUUAAGCCAAGACGUGCGACACCGAGCCCGUUACACCGCUCGGAAAACUCCACCGACGCCCGGGGACGCCUUUACCCCGAUGAUCUGUCCACGCACGAGGGCCCAUUGACCACUGCCAGGAUUCUGGCCAUCCCAAAACCCGUUACAAACCUUGAGCACAAACCCUAGGCCGCCCUCCGAGAAGUCUGCACGUGGAUGUAAGCAGCCCGCCGCAUGAGACACGUGCGUCAAGAGGUGCGUGAAACCGAUCGAGCCAACCGAACGAGACAACGAACGUGCGCAGCUACGUGGGAUCGCCGUGGGACAUCCGGUAGGACCGACGAACAACUAUAAGUUGAUUUUGUCAAAUGACAAGUGAAAUUUGCUGCUGGAAUUAAGAAUAUUUUGGAAACUUGGUAUCAGGUGCCCUAGUUAACGUGGGCAAGUUGUCUGGGCUGGAAGCCAUUGUGAAGCCCAUCGAAAUUAGAGGUUAGGCACACCGCGUGCUCGGUCAGUGACGAAACUCGUCCGGAAUCGUUCGGAAUCGUCGCUAGCGUCAGGAUUCGUUUGGGAUCAUCCUGUUUCGCUGAGGGUUAAAGCCAGCAGCAAGCCAGGGUUGUGCUAUUUACCGGUUGCGGACGCAGCCAUUGUGAUCUAGUACUUCGGUACGCUAGUGGCGCACACGUCACUUCCAGUGGGUUGUCAGCGGCACCGCUUUACGUCAACACAAAGCCGUACCGCACCGACGAAGUCGGGACGCAAACCUCGUUUAAGCCAAGACGUGCGACACCGAGCCCGUUACACCGCUCGGAAAACUCCACCGACGCCCGGGGACGCCUUUACCCCGAUGAUCUGUCCACGCACGAGGGCCCAUUGACCACUGCCAGGAUUCUGGCCAUCCCAAAACCCGUUACAAACCUUGAGCACAAACCCUAGGCCGCCCUCCGAGAAGUCUGCACGUGGAUGUAAGCAGCCCGCCGCAUGAGACACGUGCGUCAAGAGGUGCGUGAAACCGAUCGAGCCAACCGAACGAGACAACGAACGUGCGCAGCUACGUGGGAUCGCCGUGGGACAUCCGGUAGGACCGACGAACAACUAUAAGGUCAGAUCUAUCUUUUUGCAUUAUAUAAACGCCCCUGUUCCCCUGAAAAACACCAAGAUUAAUCCCUAGAGUAGCUUGCUAGCUUAAGUCGAUUCUUUGCGCGUCGCGCCAAACAGUCAGACCCCGCAGAGUCAGGUGUGACGUCACAAAAUCUAGGCCAGAUUGCAAUAAAGGGAAUUGCCUGUGUCCAAAUCUGAAUUGCGAACUCUUCUGAAUUGAAAUUUCGCCGAAUAAAAUACUCUUUGACAAAUUCAAUAAAUUUAAUUUGUUGUUCGCGUACGAAUUUUGACUUUUUACUAUAUUUAUCGACUUCGAGAAAA
rnacentral:lncRNA from 1 species